UACGUAGGGGGCUAGCGUUGUCCGGAUUUAUUGGGCGUAAAGAGCGUGUAGGCGGCCAGGUAGGUCUGGUGUGAAAACUCGAGGCUUAACCUCGAGAUGUCGAUGGAAACCAUCUAGCUAGAGUCCGGAAGAGGAGAGUGGAAUUCCUGGUGUAACGGUGAAAUGCGCAGAUAUCGGGAAGAACACCCGUGGCGAAGGCGGUUCUCUGGGACGGUACUGACGCUGAGACGCGAAAGCGUGGGGAGCGAACAGG
rnacentral:rRNA from 1 species